CCUGAUGUGAGCUCUGAUAUACAUUCACUUAGACUUCCCUGUUCUCAACUUCUUAUAUGUAUGUGUAUUACUGCUCAAUCGCCGGCAGACAUGAUUAAAAUGCUGCUAAAUUUGCCAAUUAUAUUUCACGUAUUACAGGAUGAUACAUAUUUUACUGAAAUCUUUGAAUAAAUUGUACCUUAGGUGGCGCGUCGAGUUUCUAUAUAAAGCCAUUCAUCUGUCAAGUUUAUACCAUAAGCAAGCAUUCGAUCACUAAUCAGUCCAUCCCUUUCUCUUAAUUCUCUGCAUUCAACUUACUUGCCUUUCCAACUCACACAUAAUGGGUUCAGCUAGAAUUGUUUUCAGUUUCAUGUUACUGAUAAGUUUGGUCAUGACCAGCACUUUUGUAUCAGCUGCCCGUCAAUUGAAUGAAACUCCAAAGCUCAGGGACCAAAAUGCAAAUUCUGAAAAGAUGAGUGGUGAAAUUGGAAGCGAAGCAAAAGAUAAAACUUUGGGUGAUAAGAAAUUCUUUCUUCCAUUGCCAUCACCAGAUUCACCACUCCCAGAACUCCCUCCAUUUCCGUUUCCAUUUCAAAAUCUUCCGGGGCUUCCACCAAUGUCACUCCCCGCUCUACCAAAUUUCUUCACGCCGCCUCCACAAAACUAGAAGACAGUCCACUCAGACACUUAGUUGUGCUUCUUAUUGAACUUUCAUUUCAUUUGCAAUUAGCAUAUCGUAUUUCUGUUUGUUCUAGUUACAUGUUUGAAAAUUGUAGUUUGUUGUGAUCAAUAAAAGUCGAACUGUAAGACGACAUUUCUAAGUUAUGUAGGUCAUUCAUUACUGUUGCAUCCGAUCAGUUGUUAAAAUGUACUCUGAGCAAUGUAAUUUGCCUUGUACACAUGUAAUAUCAACAUAUCAUCAAUUAUAAUUUGAUUGCUAUGGAUGAUGUUAAAUUAACUUUAUUACUAGCUAGUACCCUGUCGACGGAACUAACUAAAAACUAGCAUAGUACCACAUAAGAACUGAUAUAACUACUAAUUAGUGGACAUCGUCUGAAACAGCUGCAGUAAAAUUGUAAUCAGUGCACAAGUCUCCCGUUCAAACACAUUGAGUCAAGAAA
rnacentral:lncRNA from 1 species